GAGAUUAAACGCCUAUCACCUGAUUCCCGAUGGGAAGAGAUUGCUCUCAUCAGAUGAAGAUCAAGAGAAGAUGCUGUAGUUAAAAGAGUUUGGAGAAGUCUCCUGGGAGCAGAGGUUGGGGUGUGCAUCCAGCCUCUGCUGCUUCCCAUGCCCAGCACAAGCAACCGAGGAGGUGAAGCCAGCUUUACCCAGAGAUGCCGCUUUUACAACCAGCUGCCACAGACAAGAUGCAUGUUAUUCCUGUGCCAGGAGUGGACCUGAACCUCAGCUCCAGGAAUCACAAAGCAGACUUUAUGCAGUCUCCUACUUCAGCCUGUCAAAAUGAUAUCCACCAAUUAAAACCAAAGCUGCUAAACUGGUGAGCACAAGCAACUCGGUAUCAUGCUGUUAGCCUUCUAGGUGCAUGAGCAGGUUGUUUCACUACAGAAAAGGAAGUAAGGCUGCAGCCUGUAUUUAGGAGAAGUUCCUGAAGCCUGUAUGGGGACCCUGAGCCUGAAGAGGUAUCUGUGUUGUCCUAGUCCCGCCUCCCCUUAUAGCAGUUGGGAGAUACUGCUCUCCCUGGACGCUGAGUGUUGGGACUGCCUCAACUCUAAACAGUGCCUUUUGUCCUUGAUGGGAACAUCGCUUGAAAGGAUAGUGAGCAAGGACUAUGGAGGAGUUACCAUCCUCUUUAGAAGUGCCCGGUUUGAAGGCCGUGGUGGGAUAAGGAGGAGGAGAGAUGCUCGGCUGCAGAUUUUCGUCUAUGGCCACACAGAAGAUUGCAGGCUGCACGGCUCCCGGUGCCUUGCCUUCCACAAACCCUGUGGAGAGAGAAUCUCCAAAGCUUGCACCAGAGCAUAUUUCAGUAAGUGCCACAGUUCAGCGUGCUCGUACCAUGCUGUUGGAGUUGCAGAUGCUUCUGUACCACGCACUUCUCUCUGCUGUUGCAGCCCCUAACGGGAGUUAAUUGGGUCCUGGGAUACCGAGAAGACAAACUGAAGAAGAUGCGGUUCAGCGGCUACGCGAGGCUACCCAUGCAUUCGCAAGAUCGCCUCUUCCAGUUUGUUCCCCAAUAACCUCCAUCAGCUAUUUGCAUUUCAAUGGUUUCCAAGCCUCUGGUAAUCGCUGGGGGAGGAGGCGGGUAAAAAGGCUUUUAUAUUAGAGUUAGAUCAGCCUUUGCAAGCCUGAAGGAGUGAGGGAGCGUCGCAGCAGCUGAUGCAACCCGUGACAGUAUAUUGUUUGCCGUUCUGUGCGAGCCUGGGGUGCACACCAGUGCCUGUGAGUUGAUUCAUAACCACAAAGAAAAGUAUGAAUGUAGUGUUGGCAGUAAGGCAGCAGCAGCAGCAUUGCUGCCCUCCGAGGCUGGAUGGAAACGGGGCGGUAAGAGUUGGGAAUUCGUGUUGGAGCAGCUCAUAUGGCUAAACCCCUCCACGUCCGAGGGUGCUGUCCCUGGCCUGUUGUGCCCAGCCAGAGCUGGGGCUCUGUGUGGCGGGUGAGAGUUGUGCCUUUAAGGGAGUGUGGGCCCAAGGCAGCUGGAGAGCCUGGGUGCUGGCCAGCAAGU